UACAUGGUCUCUUUAGAGACCAUCUUUUUUGAAAAUUAGAAAAAUU
rfam:Amborella trichopoda AMTR_V1.0_contig_39880, whole genome shotgun sequence.